rnacentral:tRNA from 1 species
CCCUGUUUAGCUCAGUUGGUAGAGCGCUCCACCUGUAAUGGAGAGGUCCCGGGUUCGAUACCCGGACCAGGCG